CCUACGGGGGGCAGCAGUGGGGAAUAUUGCACAAUGGGGGAAACCCUGAUGCAGCGACGCCGCGUGAGUGAAGAAGUAAUUCGUUACGUAAAGCUCUAUCAGCAGGGAAGAAACACUGACCUUACGGUCAGCAGACGGUACCUGAGUAAGAAGCGCCGGCUAACUACGUGCCAGCAGCCGCGGUAAUACGGAGGGGGCAAGCGUUUUCCGGAUUUACUGGGUGUAAAGGGAGCGUAGACGGUGCGCCAAGUCUGGAGUGAAAUGCCGCAGCUUAACUGCGGAACUGCUUUGGAAACGGGCGAACUAGAGUGGGGGGGGGUAAGCGGAAUUCGUGGUGUAGCGGUGAAAUGCGUGGAUAUUAGGAGGAACACCGGUGGCGAAGGCGGCUUACUGGACCGUAACUGACGUUGAGGCUCGAAAGCGUGGGGAGCAAACAGGAUUAGAUACCCUAGUAGUC
rnacentral:rRNA from 1 species